UCGAGGAUCUUCGGCAAUGCGCGCAAGCGCGACCGAGCGACGCCGCGUGGGCGACGAAGGCCUUCGGGUUGUAAAGCCCUGUCGAGGGGGAGAAAAGCCCGCAAGGGUGUGAUCUAUCCCUGGAGGAAGCUCGGGCUAAGUUCGUGCCAGCAGCCGCGGUAAGACGAACCGAGCGAACGUUGUUCGGAAUCACUGGGCUUAAAGGGCGCGUAGGCGGGCUGCCGAGUCCGGGGUGAAAGCCCCCCGCUCAACGGGGGAACGGCCUCGGAUACUGGCGGCCUGGAGGCGGGUAGGGGCAAGCGGAACUGUGGGUGGAGCGGUGAAAUGCGUUGAGAUCCACAGGAACUCCGGUGGCGAAGGCGGCUUGCUGGACCCGAACUGACGCUGAGGCGCGAAAGCCAGGGGAGCGAACGG
rnacentral:rRNA from 1 species